AGCGGACCGGCGGGUUUGGCGGGUAUGCGUUUGGCACGCACCGAAAAAAAUGUGCAACUCAUUCGCCCGCUGC
rnacentral:tRNA from 1 species